rnacentral:rRNA from 1 species
AUUGAACGCUGGCGGCAUGCUUUACACAUGCAAGUCGAACGGUAACAGGGAGCUUGCUCCGCUGACGAGUGGCGAACGGGUGAGUAACGCGUCGGAACGUGCCGAGUAGUGGGGGAUAACGCAUCGAAAGGUGUGCUAAUACCGCAUACGAACGGAGGUUGAAAGUGGGGGACCUUCGGGCCUCACGCUAUUCGAGCGGCCGACGUCUGAUUAGCUAGUUGGUGAGGUAAAGGCUCACCAAGGCGACGAUCAGUAGCGGGUCUGAGAGGAUGAUCCGCCACACUGGGACUGAGACACGGCCCAGACUCCUACGGGAGGCAGCAGUGGGGAAUUUUGGACAAUGGGCGCAAGCCUGAUCCAGCCAUGCCGCGUGUCUGAAGAAGGCCUUCGGGUUGUAAAGGACUUUUGUCCGGGAGCAAAUGCUGGUGGCUAACAUCCACCGGAGCUGAGAGUACCGGAAGAAUAAGCACCGGCUAACUACGUGCCAGCCGCCGCCGUAACAC